rnacentral:lncRNA from 1 species
AACAUUCUUUCUUCCCUAUAAGGGAAUCCACAGUGAAGAUGCAUUAUUUCAGAGGAGACUGGAUCAAUAUUCCUUCUUCAACCUGUCACACAGAGAAGAGAGGCGCCUCUGUUUUCCCAUCAGGGAUGAGUACAGGAAACGGCAGCAUAUUUUCCACUUGGAUGGAGCCAAGAUGGCCAAAUAGGAACAGCUCCAGUCUACAGCUCCCAGCAUGAGUGACACAGAAGACAGGUGAUUUCUGCAUUUCCAACUGAGGUACCAGGUUCAUCUCACAGGGGAGUGCUGGACAGUGGGUGCAGGACUUGGUGCAGUGCACCGUGUGUGAGCUGAAGCAGGGCGAGGCAUCGCCUCACCCAGGAAGUGCAAGGUGUCAGGGAAUUCCCUUUCCUAGUCAAAGAAAGGGGUGACAGAAAGCACCUGGAAAAUCGGGUCACUCCCACUCUAAUACUUAAUACUGCACUUUUCCAAUGGGCUUCACAAAUGGCACACCAGAAGAUUAUAUCCCACACCUUGCUUGGAGGGUCCUACACCCACAGAGCCUCACUUAUUGCUAGCA